UGAAUCUUGAUGAUGCCGCAC
rnacentral:miRNA from 1 species